rnacentral:rRNA from 1 species
UAACACAUGCAAGUCGAGGGGCAGCACGAGGUAGCAAUACUUUGGUGGCGACCGGCGCACGGGUGCGUAACGCGUAUGCAACCUACCUUUAACAGGGGCAUAACACUGAGAAAUUGGUACUAAUUCCCCAUAACAUUCGAGAAGGCAUCUUCUUGGGUUAAAAACUCCGGUGGUUAAAGAUGGGCAUGCGUUGUAUUAGCUAGUUGGUGAGGUAACGGCUCACCAAGGCAACGAUACAUAGGGGGACUGAGAGGUUAACCCCCCACAUUGGUACUGAGACACGGACCAAACUCCUACGGGAGGCAGCAGUGAGGAAUAUUGGUCAAUGGACGCAAGUCUGAACCAGCCAUGCCGCGUGCAGGAAGACGGCUCUAUGAGUUGUAAACUGCUUUUGUACUAGGGUAAACGCUUCUACGUGUAGGAGCCUGAAAGUAUAGUACGAAUAAGGAUCGGCUAACUCCGUGCCAGCAGCCGCGGUAAUACGGAGGAUCCAAGCGUUAUCCGGAUUUAUUGGGUUUAAAGGGUGCGUAGGCGGUUUGAUAAGUUAGAGGUGAAAUACCGGGGCUCAACUCCGGAACUGCCUCUAAUACUGUUGAACUAGAGAGUAGUUGCGGUAGGCGGAAUGUAUGGUGUAGCGGUGAAAUGCUUAGAGAUCAUACAGAACACCGAUUGCGAAGGCAGCUUACCAAA